GCAGGCCCUGAUCGAAGCCGGGUUAGUGGUGUGAGUAACUAAUGCGGUCAAGCAGAGGCCGAGAGCAAGGCUUUUCUCUGACGGUCGCGGCUCUGGUUGUUUUUGUGCCAGAGAUCAGCAACAUAUAAGAGAAAUACAGUC